CUGUGCCAGUACUGAAGGGAAGUGGGUGGAAAGGGCUGGGGACAGAAAAGGAGCUAAGGAAGACUCUCAAGGACACAGCACAGUCUCAGGUGCUGGAGGGAAUCUGGAAGCCCAGCAAGUUGCAGUCUACCUGGCUCACUCAGAGCCUCCAUUUCAAUCAGAAUCACCUUGGAGUCAUCCUGGAUGAGGGCACUGUGCAAGGCGAUCUCCUGCUCAUAGCUUCCUGAGUAUGCAGCAGCACUAUGAGAUCAAGAAUGGCCAAGGUGAAGUGAUUCAAAGCUGGAAGGUGGACUUGGGGUGGAGAUGGAGGUGCGGCAGAUUGACAGAGAGCUUACUGUCUGUACUGUCAUCAGUUUAAAUGCUAAAUACUCCCUAAGAACAUCAUUUCAACAGGAUUCUUCCUCAGAUCACUUUUUCAAAAAUUCCUAUCUGGAUGUAUCCUGGAAAUCUAUACUUCUUGUGGAGAUUGUUGUGAAGUAACUAUGGUUAUGGCUGGUUAUUUUUAAAUGAAGAAGUUAAUCCAAGACAUUGAAGGAAGUUAAAAUUCAAUAUCUUUAUAAAUGUUAAUGGCUUUUUACAUGUAUAAAUAAUUGAUUUACAUGAUGACAACACUAAAAUACUUUCUGGAAGUGCUUAUAAACAGGAAAACACUGCCUGUGUUUGAAUCUUGCCUUUAUAACUCUAAUAUUUGGCAACUUAUGCAACCCCUCUUUGCCCCAAAUUCCUCCUCUUUAAAAUUAGAUGAUAGUGACAGUCUCUUUCUCCUGGAGUAUUGAUUUUUUAAAAAUUUAAUGAAAAAUAAUUAGGUCCUGGUGCAUAGAAAAUAAUAAAUAAAUGUAUAAUAUUAUUAUGAGUAUCAAAUAUUUAUUGGAUAAUAUUUGU